UACAAUGUUUUGACUCUUUAUUUUAUUUGAAAUUUUUUGUGAUUAAUAUAUUUAUUAUUAGUAGAUGAUAAAAUAUGAAUAGUAUUUUAUCCGUGACUAAUUUUUUAAGUUAUUUAACAAAUUUUUCAAAUAAGACGAAUGGUCAAAGCAUUGGGCACAGAAAUC
rnacentral:pre_miRNA from 1 species